rnacentral:lncRNA from 1 species
AGAAUGAAUUAGUUGAUACUUUAAGCACAGUAACCAACUUCUUGGGCUUUCCUGGUGUCUUAGCAGUAAAGAAUCUACCUGCCAAAGCAGGAACUGCCAGAGAUGUGGGUUUGAUCCCUGGGUCAGGAAGAUACUGUGGGGAAGGAAGUGACAACUCACUUCAGUAUUCUUGCAGGGAAAAUCCCAUGGACAGAGAAGCCUGGCAGGCUACAGUCCAUAGGAUCAUAAAGAGUCAGACACGAAUGAGCGACUAAACACGCACACACGACCAACUUCCAUUCCAGAGAAUGGAAUGGAAGAUUUUAGGUAGAGUUCAUUAUUCUCUUGUGUCCCUUGGCUAGUGAGAUAACAGAACUGCUAUUCAUGUUGGCCACUUGUUUACCUAUAGAGAAAAGGGCACAUCUUAGGUAAACAGAAACCUCUACUCAAAAACAAAGGAAAAAAAUUUUGACUCAUCACUUUGAGUGGAGUCUUAUAAUGGCCAACUUUUAAUAUGUAUGACUCAAAAAGAGCAAAUACAUGUUUCAGAAAAAGAAUGAGACAUCCUCCAGUCCUUUGGCAGGUCUUGGUCACAAAUAUAUAUGAAUUAUAUUCCUACUUUAUAUGCAAAGUGUUCAAUGGAUGGUCAUCUGAAUCUCCACCUCUCUUUCUCUCAUUUUCUUUUAAAAUAGAAAGAACUUUUGUUACUUCAAAUGAAAAGACACUUAUGGCAACUGGGAGAAGGAAGCUGGGCAGUGUGACAGUAGUUAUAGACUAUUACCACCACUCCAUGCAAAUGUGGACAUAAUUGAGGAACUCGCCUCAGGGUGCAGUUGGAAGACUUCUAUUAAGCAAGAAUUGUCACAGGAAGAAUUUUCCAGGCAAGAGUACUGGAGUGGAUUUCCAUUUCCUUCUCCAAGGAAUCUUCCUGACCCAGCGAUCAAACCUGUGUCUCCUGUCUGGCAGACAAAAUUCUUUACCAUUGAGCCACCUGGGAAGCCCUAAAACCAAAGAUGGUCAUUUCUAUUCAUGUUAUUCACUAACAUUUCCCAAGCAACUAGAAGAAAGAGCUUGCAAUAUAGAAGAUACUUUAAAAAUAUCUGUUAAAUGGAUGAAUGAUGGGAUGAAAAUAUCUAUUAAAUGGAUAAAUGAGGUCUCUUUGCAUAUAUUUUCAAGUAAUCAUCAUUAAAUUGAUGUUUUUGCUUUCCAACAAAUCAGAUGGACUUCAGGUCCUUCAAAAACUGUUUCCAACUCCAACCACAUUACUUGUUUCACAAUAAAUGGUCAACAGUUGCAACUGAUCUACGAAGC